AGGAAGGGGAGAAGGCUUGACUCUGUCUUUGGAUAUGGUCAUGAUAGUACCAUCAUUAAGAAUGGCAAUUACAAGAACCAUGAAAGGAGGAAAGUCAAAUUUCCAGAAGACAGUCAGCAGCAUAAAACCAAGCACUAUGCGUAUAGUGAUAGACACUGCAUAUAUCGUGUAAUUUUUCAUUCUCUGGAAUAUAGCACGACUUGUUAAGACAGCACUAAUGAUUACACUUAGCCCAG
rnacentral:misc_RNA from 1 species